rnacentral:lncRNA from 1 species
CGGAUUUUGGCUUGGUGGCGGAACUUGGGCAGCCCUAAGGGAGGUCUAAAGUAGUAGUGGUUGAGCUAGUUGGGUUGGGAGAGAGCUUGGUUGGUUGAACUAAGUUUAUAUAACUAAAACCUUGUAUAUAUAAAUAUAUGUGUAUAAGAAAGGAGGUUUUAGAGAAGAAGUAUAUGUAGAGAGUGUUUGUAGAGAUGAAAGAGAGGAUACUUCUGAAAUUCCCAG